rnacentral:rRNA from 1 species
UUAAGCGACUAAGCGUACACGGUGGAUGCCCUGGCAGUCAGAGGCGAUGAAGGACGUGCUAAUCUGCGAUAAGCGUCGGUAAGGUGAUAUGAACCGUUAUAACCGGCGAUUUCCGAAUGGGGAAACCCAGUGUGUUUCGACACACUAUCAUUAACUGAAUCCAUAGGUUAAUGAGGCGAACCGGGGGAACUGAAACAUCUAAGUACCCCGAGGAAAAGAAAUCAACCGAGAUUCCCCCAGUAGCGGCGAGCGAACGGGGAGGAGCCCAGAGCCUGAAUCAGUGUGUGUGUUAGUGGAAGCGUCUGGAAAGGCGCGCGAUACAGGGUGACAGCCCCGUACACAAAAAUGCACAUACUGUGAGCUCGAUGAGUAGGGCGGGACACGUGGUAUCCUGUCUGAAUAUGGGGGGACCAUCCUCCAAGGCUAAAUACUCCUGACUGACCGAUAGUGAACCAGUACCGUGAGGGAAAGGCGAAAAGAACCCCGGCGAGGGGAGUGAAAAAGAACCUGAAACCGUGUACGUACAAGCAGUGGGAGCCUCUUUUAUGGGGUGACUGCGUACCUUUUGUAUAAUGGGUCAGCGACUUAUAUUCUGUAGCAAGGUUAACCGAAUAGGGGAGCCGAAGGGAAACCGAGUCUUAACUGGGCGUUAAGUUGCAGGGUAUAGACCCGAAACCCGGUGAUCUAGCCAUGGGCAGGUUGAAGGUUGGGUAACACUAACUGGAGGACCGAACCGACUAAUGUUGAAAAAUUAGCGGAUGACUUGUGGCUGGGGGUGAAAGGCCAAUCAAACCGGGAGAUAGCUGGUUCUCCCCGAAAGCUAUUUAGGUAGCGCCUCGUGAAUUCAUCUCCGGGGGUAGAGCACUGUUUCGGCAAGGGGGUCAUCCCGACUUACCAACCCGAUGCAAACUGCGAAUACCGGAGAAUGUUAUCACGGGAGACACACGGCGGGUGCUAACGUCCGUCGUGAAGAGGGAAACAACCCAGACCGCCAGCUAAGGUCCCAAAGUCAUGGUUAAGUGGGAAACGAUGUGGGAAGGCCCAGACAGCCAGGAUGUUGGCUUAGAAGCAGCCAUCAUUUAAAGAAAGCGUAAUAGCUCACUGGUCGAGUCGGCCUGCGCGGAAGAUGUAACGGGGCUAAACCAUGCACCGAAGCUGCGGCAGCGACACUAUGUGUUGUUGGGUAGGGGAGCGUUCUGUAAGCCUGUGAAGGUGUGCUGUGAGGCAUGCUGGAGGUAUCAGAAGUGCGAAUGCUGACAUAAGUAACGAUAAAGCGGGUGAAAAGCCCGCUCGCCGGAAGACCAAGGGUUCCUGUCCAACGUUAAUCGGGGCAGGGUGAGUCGACCCCUAAGGCGAGGCCGAAAGGCGUAGUCGAUGGGAAACAGGUUAAUAUUCCUGUACUUGGUGUUACUGCGAAGGGGGGACGGAGAAGGCUAUGUUGGCCGGGCGACGGUUGUCCCGGUUUAAGCGUGUAGGCUGGUUUUCCAGGCAAAUCCGGAAAACCAAGGCUGAGGCGUGAUGACGAGGCACUACGGUGCUGAAGCGACAAAUGCCCUGCUUCCAGGAAAAGCCUCUAAGCAUCAGGUAACAUCAAAUCGUACCCCAAACCGACACAGGUGGUCAGGUAGAGAAUACCAAGGCGCUUGAGAGAACUCGGGUGAAGGAACUAGGCAAAAUGGUGCCGUAACUUCGGGAGAAGGCACGCUGAUAUGUAGGUGAAGCGACUUGCUCGUGGAGCUGAAAUCAGUCGAAGAUACCAGCUGGCUGCAACUGUUUAUUAAAAACACAGCACUGUGCAAACACGAAAGUGGACGUAUACGGUGUGACGCCUGCCCGGUGCCGGAAGGUUAAUUGAUGGGGUUAGCGGUAACGCGAAGCUCUUGAUCGAAGCCCCGGUAAACGGCGGCCGUAACUAUAACGGUCCUAAGGUAGCGAAAUUCCUUGUCGGGUAAGUUCCGACCUGCACGAAUGGCGUAAUGAUGGCCAGGCUGUCUCCACCCGAGACUCAGUGAAAUUGAACUCGCUGUGAAGAUGCAGUGUACCCGCGGCAAGACGGAAAGACCCCGUGAACCUUUACUAUAGCUUGACACUGAACAUUGAGCCUUGAUGUGUAGGAUAGGUGGGAGGCUUUGAAGUGUGGACGCCAGUCUGCAUGGAGCCGACCUUGAAAUACCACCCUUUAAUGUUUGAUGUUCUAACGUUGGCCCGUAAUCCGGGUUGCGGACAGUGUCUGGUGGGUAGUUUGACUGGGGCGGUCUCCUCCUAAAGAGUAACGGAGGAGCACGAAGGUUGGCUAAUCCUGGUCGGACAUCAGGAGGUUAGUGCAAUGGCAUAAGCCAGCUUGACUGCGAGCGUGACGGCGCGAGCAGGUGCGAAAGCAGGUCAUAGUGAUCCGGUGGUUCUGAAUGGAAGGGCCAUCGCUCAACGGAUAAAAGGUACUCCGGGGAUAACAGGCUGAUACCGCCCAAGAGUUCAUAUCGACGGCGGUGUUUGGCACCUCGAUGUCGGCUCAUCACAUCCUGGGGCUGAAGUAGGUCCCAAGGGUAUGGCUGUUCGCCAUUUAAAGUGGUACGCGAGCUGGGUUUAGAACGUCGUGAGACAGUUCGGUCCCUAUCUGCCGUGGGCGCUGGAGAACUGAGGGGGGCUGCUCCUAGUACGAGAGGACCGGAGUGGACGCAUCACUGGUGUUCGGGUUGUCAUGCCAAUGGCACUGCCCGGUAGCUAAAUGCGGAAGAGAUAAGUGCUGAAAGCAUCUAAGCACGAAACUUGCCCCGAGAUGAGUUCUCCCUGAGACUUUAAGUCUCCUGAAGGAACGUUGAAGACGACGACGUUGAUAGGCCGGGUGUGUAAGCGCAGCGAUGCGUUGAGCUAACCGGUACUAAUGAACCGUGAGGCUUAACCUU